CGGGGGCCCGCACAAGCGGUGGAGCAUGUGGUUUAAUUCGAUGCAACGCGAAGAACCUUACCUGGUCUUGACAUCCACGGAAGUUUUCAGAGAUGAGAAUGUGCCUUCGGGAACCGUGAGACAGGUGCUGCAUGGCUGUCGUCAGCUCGUGUUGUGAAAUGUUGGGUUAAGUCCCGCAACGAGCGCAACCCUUAUCCUUUGUUGCCAGCGGUCCGGCCGGGAACUCAAAGGAGACUGCCAGUGAUAAACUGGAGGAAGGUGGGGAUGACGUCAAGUCAUCAUGGCCCUUACGACCAGGGCUACACACGUGCUACAAUGGCGCAUACAAAGAGAAGCGACCUCGCGAGAGCAAGCGGACCUCAUAAAGUGCGUCGUAGUCCGGAUUGGAGUCUGCAACUCGACUCCAUGAAGUCGGAAUCGCUAGUAAUCGUGGAUCAGAAUGCCACGGUGAAUACGUUCCCGGGCCUUGUACACACCGCCCGUCACACCAUGGGAGUGGGUUGCAAAAGAAGUAGGUAGCUUAACCUUCGGGAGGGCGCUUACCACUUUGUGAUUCAUGACUGGGGUGAAGUCGUAACAAGGUAACCGUAGGGGAACCUGCGGUUGGAUCACCUC
rnacentral:rRNA from 1 species